rnacentral:rRNA from 1 species
GCUAACCUACCCUUGGGACGGGGACAACCCCGGGAAACUGGGGCUAAUCCCCGGUGGGUGAGGAGGCCUGGAAUGGUUCCUCGCUGAAAAGGCGCUGAAACCAUGCUUUUCGGCGUUGCCCAAGGAUGGGGCCGCAGCCGAUCAGGUUGUUGGUGUGGUAACGGCUCACCAAGCCUUUGACCGGUACGGGCCGCGAGAGCGGGAGCCUGGAGAUGGGCACUGAGACAAGGGCCCAGGCCCUACGGGGUGCAGCAGGCGCGAAAACUCCGCAAUGCGCGAAAGCGUGACGGGGCUAUCCCGAGUGCCGUCCGCUAAGGAUGGCUUUUCCCCGGUGUAAGGAGCCGUGGGAAUAAGGAGAGGGCAAGCCUGGUGUCAGCCGCCGCGGUAAUACCAGCUCCUCCAGUGGUAGGGACGGUUAUUGGGCUUAAAGCGUCCGUAGCCGGCUCGAUAAGUCUCUCGUUAAAUCCAGCGACCUAAUCGUUGGACUGCGGGAGAUACUGUCGGGCUAGGGGGCGGGGAGAAGCCGAUGGUAUUCCCGGGGGUAGGAGGUGAAAUCCUAUAAUCCCGGGAGGACCACCAGUGGCGAAAGCGGUCGGCUAGAACGCGCUCGACGGUGAUGGACGAAAGCUGGGGGGAGCGAACCGGAUUAGAUACCCGGGUAGCCCCAGCCGUAAACGAUGCGGGCUAAGUGUUGGGGAGGCUACGAGCCUCUUCAGUGCCGCAGCGAAAACGUUAAGCCCGCCGCCUGAGGAGUACGGCCGCAAGGCUGAAACUUAAAGGAAUUGGCGGGGGAGCACCACAAGGGGUGAAGCUUGCGGUUCAAUUGGAGUCAACGCCGGGAACCUUACCGGGGGCGACAGCAGGAUGAAGGCCAGAUUGAAGGUCUUACCAGACGAGCUGAGAGGAGGUGCAUGGCCGUCGCCAGUUCGUGCCGUGAGGUGUCCUGUUAAGUCAGGCAACGAUCGAGACCCGCACUCCCUGUUGCCAGCGGACCUCGCUGGGAUGCCGGGCACACUGGGGGGACUGCCGCCGAUAAGGCGGAGGAAGGAGCGGGCCACGGCAGGUCAGUAUGCCCCGAAUCCCCCGGGCCACACGCGAGCUGCAAUGGCUGGGACAAUGGGUUUCGACCCUGAAAAGGGGAGGCAAUCCCGAAACCCAGCCUCAGUUGGAAUCGAGGGCUGCAACCCGCCCUCGUGAACAUGGAAUCCCUAGUAAC